AUAAGGGGUGGUCUCCUUCCUUACCCAAAUGCUUGAGGAGACUGAUUUGAGUAAUAAAACUCCCAUCUCCCACACACUGGCUCUGCAUGAGUAAGUAACUCUUUCUCUACUGCAAUUGCCUUGUCUUGAUAAAUCAGCUCUGUCUAGGCAGCGAGCAAGGUGAACCCACUGUAUGGUUACACUACUUUAGCAUCUAUCAAAUUAACCUGUGCAACUAACUCCCACCUUAUUUUAGGCCCCACUGACUUGCCAAACUACAACAGCUUCACGAUGUAUCUCCCCAUCUUGAACCUCUCUCAAAUUCUUUCCUAUUUCAACCCAUCCUAAAGUAGUGGCUAGAAUUAACAUUAAAUGGUUUUCAUAAUGUGACCACCCAUAAUGUGUCCUAUUACCUUAAAAUCCUGUAUUAUCUCUUUUCCACCAUCUCAAAUCUAACAUCAAUUCAUGUUGAUGAGAGAGUGAGGAAAUAAGCACACCAUACAACGUUAGCAAGAAAGCUGAGUAGUCACCUGGUAACUACAAGGAUUUGCAUGUAUCAAGAUACAACAUAUAUAUAAAUACUUUCAAAUACUUAAUAUGUAAACACAUAUACAAAGACAAAAAAAUACUUUGACCCAGUAGCUCAAUUCCAAAUAGUUUAACCAAAGGAAAUAAUCUGACAAAUGAGCAAAACAUAUGCAACUUAAUGCUCACUAUAGCAUUACUUAUAAUUGUGAAAAAUUAAAGAGAAUUCAGAUAUACAUCAAUAUAAAAUAGGUUAAAUUAUGAUUUAAUCGUGCAAAUGAAUCUAUGCAGUCAUUAGAAUCUAUGCAGUCAUCAGACCUAAUGAAAUUAGGUCGUGCUGCUCUUGUCAGUCAACAUGGAGGCAGAAGAAUCGGAGAAGGCCGCAACAGAACAAAGGCACUGGAAGGGACAAACCAGACACUAGAUGCAGAGGAGGAACAGGAGGAAUCCAAAGAAAAGGCCUGUGGCAACAAGAAGCAGGUAGUGCCAGGUAUUGUGUACCUGGGCCAUAUCCCACCACACUUCCAGCCCCUGCACAUCAGCAACUUUCUUAGCACCUGUGGUGAGGUCAGACGCGUUUUCUUUCAGGCUGAGGACUGGUUCAUGAGAUGUAAGAAGGAGGCAGCAGCAGCCAUGGGAGGGAAAAAAAGCAGUCCUACAGCAAGGACUACAACGAGGGAUGGGUGGAGUUCCGUGACAAGCACAGAGCCAAGAGCAUGGCGGCCAGUCUACACAACACGUCUAUGGGUGCCUGCAGGUGUAGCCCCUUCCAUUAUGACCUAUGGAAUCUGGAGUACUUGCACCAUUUCACCUGGUCCCACCACAGCGAGCGCCAGGUACACAGGCAGACAGCGCCUGAGAGCGGAGGUCCCUCAGGCCAAGUGUGAGACCGUCUUCUAUCUUCAAAGUGUGGAAUGGGGACAACGCUUUUUUGCUGCUGAUGGGGACCUUGUUCACCCAGAUGGCUCCUGGACGUUUGCCCAGCAGCCUACUGAGCAGGAACUGACGGCCCGGAAAGCAGCACAGCCAGGGGGCGUGAAUGGGCUCACCUGGCAACUGCCCAGGACAAGACCCGCUCCAACAAAGCGCUCCUGGCCAGGAUAUUUGGGGCCCCGCCACCCUCAGAGAGCGUGGAAGGACCCUCCCUAGUCAGGGACUCCUGAGGGCGAGGGUGGCCCCUUCCAUCUCCUGGCCCCACUCUGCUUCCUGUCUACCUCAUAAUAGAAUGAUCAUGACUACCCAGGUAGACAUUUUAUUGUGUUUCUCAGACCAGUGUCUCUGCACUGGUGAGGGCCCAGUCUCACUGCUUUGGUGAGGGCCCAAAAGUGGAAGUUUUGUGGGCUUCCACUAUUCCCCCAUCUGAACUCCUGUACAUGCCUGGCUAAUUCAUACUGUCACAAUAGCAUGAUUAUGACUAUUGCAUAUGCUUGUUUUGUUUGACUCUUGGCUGCCUGCUGCUAUAGGGUCCUCUUAAAAUCUCACUUCCUGCCCCCAGGAAGGGCCUUGUAAGGGAAGGAGAAGUUCUACAAAGUUUCUUAAAUCCAUAAAGGAUUUAUCAUUCCCCAGUUAAAUGUUUGUAUGUGUAUAUUCCAAGGCUGCCCCAACUUGUUCCGGAAGGUUGACACAAGGCUAAAUGAGUCCCAGAUCAGGAUACGUGCCAUUCCUUAUCUGGGAACCCCUCUGACUUCUCAUCACUAACUUCCUCUUUUCUUUGUCCUCUUUCCCUUCUUCCUAUUUAGGAAAGUUUUAAAUUAUUAGCCAACCGAGUUAAGUUUAGAGUGUGAGGUCCCAUCCCAGCUGAUGGGAAUGGGGCACAGCCAUCGGGGAUUGCAUCAGGAUGUAAAGGUUAUAAAUGUCCCCGUCUCCUUUGUCCAGUGUGCUCUCAUGGCUGGACUGCUGGGGAGUGCACCCUUUCUGCAGAAAGUAAACUAGCCUUGCUGAGAGA